GUCUAAGCAAACAGAGCUGCAGCUACUUGCUUUGCAUUUUUCUCUGUCCUUUGAUUCCUGUUUAUAUGAGGAAAGUCUGGAAUAAUUCAAAGCGAUUUCAACAUUGCUGGAUCUGUUUCCGUGCAGUCGGUGCUUGUGUUUAAUUGUGUGUAUCCUAAAGCUUUAGCUCCUGUCUGUGUGUGUGUCCUGGUUUAACAGUGUCUACCUGUGUGGCGGUGGGUAAGCCCGCUAAAUCUCUGUUUGCCUCAGUCUGAGAACCAUAAUGCUGUGACUCACUGGGAAAGAGGGCGAGCUAAAACCCAAAGCACUCUAUCUGUCACAGAAAUCAACAGUUGCCACCGCCAUUUACCAAGCUAAUCCUCAAAGGCCAUAUUAAUAUGUUAAGUACACGUGUGAUUAAAUGAUGCAAAAGAUGCCUGUUAGCUGCCAGUAUUUAGUCAAAGUUCCCAUCUUUGUGGCCAGUGAUGAUGAGUUAAAUGUGCGUGGGUGAUACUGCAGUCAAGUUUUUUUAAAUGCUGUUCACGUUGAGAAGAGGUGGGGCUCUUUUCUCACAUUUCACCUCAGAUUCAGCUUACAUAACCUACCCUCCAUGUUAUCGAGAAUGAUCUGUCUUUAACUUUGUGAUCAGAAAUUAUGAUUCUUUUUUUUUUCUGUUUGAAACACUGCUUUGGAUCCAUAUAUUCACCAUCUGAGGAACAAUUUGUAAAUAGAAAGCUUACAGCCAGGAACAAUAAAGGAAUAGUAUGGACGGGGUUCUGCAAAGUAGUUGAUAGUGCGCUCCACUGCCUCUCACGUCUUCUCCUGGAGGAAAGAUCAAGGAAAUCACGACCAACAGGAACAACUCUGUCGGUAUACUCACCUUUUUCCCUUGGAACUCCACCACCUCUCCAACAGUAAGCCAACUGUCUCACCCAUCAUUUGUAUCACAUGUCAACAGUAUCCUACUCGUAUGUUAACAACUUACCUCUCCUAUUACCACCCUGGAUUUCUCCUGUGACCCCAGAAGAACCAUUCAUUCACUCAUUUGUAUCAAUAAACUGUUCAAACUUCUCUUUGGUGACUGUAAUUGUUCCUUGGGCGAGGGUCUCAAACCAAACCGACAUGACAAAGAAUGCUGUAGGUAAAAUUAAAGAGCCAAAAUAUGUACUGCUAUUUCAGUAAAUUAAGUAUUUGUUUAUAUAAAAACAACAAGCAGGCUACAAAAAAUAUGAUUUUUCUCAGCAAUUUUUAACCAAAAAAAUAAAGUUUUUGAAAAAAAGAGAAAAAAACAAAGAAAAAAAUCAGUUGUUUCUGCAUCGUGAACAUCUGGGUUGCCUGAUGCAGAGGGAGAUGCUAGUAGACAGCUAGAAUAAUUGUCAAUCAGGGUGUCAAACCCACAGAACUGUGUGCAGGUUGGUGUGCUUUUUUGUGCUGUCUCCUCUCCUCUGUGCAGGGUGUGAUUGGCAGGUGAUACUAUGCAGCUGCUUCUCAUGAGGCCUUAAUCGGGAGAUGCUUAAAAGGAGCAGAGAACCAACAGAGAGCUGCCAGAUUGUUAACUCUGCUAGUGCGACCCUGUUCCAGUUCCCUAGCCCUGAAGAUUGGUUCCGAGCUCCGUGGAUCCUAGGAGGAACCCUUUGUGUGGACCCCUGCAGUCUCUCUGUUGCUCCUAUCAAGGCUCCAGGAAAAAGAAGCCAUCCUCGUUGCCAUUCCGCUACGCUCAGCUGCCCGUCCACCCUCCAAUGGCGAGAUCGCUCCUCUUAAACAACACCACCAGUCAGGCUCAACCUCCACGGGGGUGGUGACCUUUUCCUGGACAACCUUCAUCCCCUGCGGAAUGUCCAGACCGGUCCUGCCGGAGCUCCAGAGUUUUCUCCUAUUCUCUAGUCUGUUUCAAAUAAAUCUGUUUAAAACGUUA